rnacentral:rRNA from 2 species
GUUGACUCUGAAUAACGUAGCUAAUCGACGGUUAAUCCGUCGAUAACCGAAAGAAGUGUCUGCCCUAUCAACCAGAUGGUAGUCUAUUAGUCUACCAUGGUUAUCACGGGUAACGGAGAAUCAGGGUUCGGCUCCGGAGAGGGAGCCUUAGAAACGGCUACCACAUCC